GGGGCCGACCUGGCUUCGACGUGGGUUCGGAGUCGGAACAGGGCAUGCCGAGCACCAGUCCGCUCGUAAAUCCACUGGAAACAAAGUAACUGCGAACGACGAAACGUACGCACUGGCCGCUUAAUACCGGCUGGCUUCGCAACGGUUGGCCGAUGGGCCGGGCCUGAGGGGCAACCCGAGGGCUGCGAAGUCAUUCACAUCGGCUCGUCCCGCGGGGGGUCACUCCCCAUGGGAUCAAAUCCAGUGACUCGGGGACGCCACAGCGUGCUGCUGCGCGGUGACGGCCCCUAAAGCCAAAACAGUCAGCUAAGCAUGUAGAUCUGUCCGGCGAUGGCUUGCGGACGCGGGUUCGAUUCCCGCCGGCUCCACCA
rnacentral:tmRNA from 1 species